rnacentral:rRNA from 1 species
AACGAACGCUGGCGGCAGGCCUAAAACAUGCAAGUCGAGCGGGCAUAGCAAUAUGUCAGCGGCGGACGGGUGAAUAACACGUGGGAACAUGCCCUUUGGUACGGAACAACUCAGGGAAACUUGAGCUAAUACCGUAUGUGCCGGUAACGGGAAAGAUUUAUCGCCAAAGGAUUGGCCCGCGUCCGAUUAGCUAGUUGGUGAGGUAACGGCUCACCAAGGCGACGAUCGGUAGCUGGUUUGAGAGAACGAUCAGCCACACUGGGACUGAGACACGGCCCAGACUCCUACGGGAGGCAGCAGCUGGGAAUCUUGGAC